rnacentral:rRNA from 1 species
CUAAAUACUCCUGACUGACCGAUAGUGAACCAGUACCGUGAGGGAAAGGCGAAAAGAACCCCGGCGAGGGGAGUGAAAAAGAACCUGAAACCGUGUACGUACAAGCAGUGGGAGCACGCUUAGGCGUGUGACUGCGUACCUUUUGUAUAAUGGGUCAGCGACUUAUAUUCUGUAGCAAGGUUAACCGAAUAGGGGAGCCGAAGGGAAACCGAGUCUUAACUGGGCGUUAAGUUGCAGGGUAUAGACCCGAAACCCGGUGAUCUAGCCAUGGGCAGGUUGAAGGUUGGGUAACACUAACUGGAGGACCGAACCGACUAAUGUUGAAAAAUUAGCGGAUGACUUGUGGCUGGGGGUGAAAGGCCAAUCAAACCGGGAGAUAGCUGGUUCUCCCCGAAAGCUAUUUAGGUAGCGCCUCGUGAAUUCAUCUCCGGGGGUAGAGCACUGUUUCGGCAAGGGGGUCAUCCCGACUUACCAACCCGAUGCAAACUGCGAAUACCGGAGAAUGUUAUCACGGGAGACACACGGCGGGUGCUAACGUCCGUCGUGAAGAGGGAAACAACCCAGACCGCCAGCUAAGGUCCCAAAGUCAUGGUUAAGUGGGAAACGAUGUGGGAAGGCCCAGACAGCCAGGAUGUUGGCUUAGAAGCAGCCAUCAUUUAAAGAAAGCGUAAUAGCUCACUGGUCGAGUCGGCCUGCGCGGAAGAUGUAA